CCGGAGCCGGCCCUUCCCGCAGGCUCUCGUCCCGGCUUAUCCGGGUCAUCGGUGGCCCGGGGCCCGCCGGCGCGGAGCGUCCCUGGAAAGCUCCGAGGCACGUGGCGAAGGAGUGUUGUGAAGCGCUUAGGUGCUGGGUGCGGAGGUGGGAGAAAGGGCCGACGACGCUCCACACCCCGCUGCAGGCUCGGCCGCUCCCAGCCGGCGGGGAAAUCCCCGUCUAGGUCCUUCUAGUUGUGGGAUGUGGGAUGCUGCCUCAACGUGGCCUGAUGAGCGGUGCCAUGUCCGCGCCCAGGAUCCGAACCCCGGACCGCAGCAGCGGAGCGCGCAAACGUAACCACUCGGCCACGGAGCUGGCCCCAGAGAAUGUUUUAUCUUAUAGUUGGAAAAAAUGAAAACGAAAUGGACAAAACUUCUUCAUGACGAACAUCUGGACCCUUACCCACGGUGUUCUAGGCACCACAGAGCCUUCCAGUGGGUAACCGACAAACCGAACGGCUCCCUCCACGUGGCGGCCCAUCCUCCAAGCUCAAACUCUGGCAAAAAAGCAAGCAGUGCCUGCAUAAACCUAGUGAAUAAAUCACCCAGAUUUUUUUUCAAAGAUUUUAUUAUUCCUUUUUCUCCCCAAAGCUCCCCA
rnacentral:lncRNA from 1 species